GGUGGGGAAUAUUGCACAAUGGGGGAAACCCUGAUGCAGCCAUGCCGCGUGUGUGAAGAAGGCCUUCGGGUUGUAAAGCACUUUCAGCGAGGAGGAAAGGUUGCUAGCUAAUAACUGCCAGCUCUGACGUUACUCGCAGAAAAAGCACCGGCUAACUCCGUGCCAGCAGCCGCGGUAAAAU
rnacentral:rRNA from 1 species